UAAGGAAUAUUGGUCAAUGGACGCAAGUCUGAACCAGCCAUGCCGCGUGGAGGAUGAAGGCCCUCUGGGUUGUAAACUUCUUUUAUAUGGGACGAAAAAGGGUCUUUCUAGAUCAACUGACGGUACCAUGUGAAUAAGCACCGGCUAACUCCGUGCCAGCAGCCGCGGUAAUACGGAGGGUGCAAGCGUUAUCCGGAUUCACUGGGUUUAAAGGGUGCGUAGGUGGGUUGGUAAGUCAGUGGUGAAAUCUCCGGGCUUAACUUGGAAACUGCCAUUGAUACUAUCAGUCUUGAAUAUUGUGGAGGUCAGCGGAAUAUGACAUGUAGCGGUGAAAUGCUUAGAUAUGACAUAGAACACCAAUUGCGAAGGCAGCUGGCUACACAACUAUUGACGCUGAGGCACGAAAGCGUGGGGAUCAAAC
rnacentral:rRNA from 1 species